GAUGAACGCUGACAGAAUGCUUAACACAUGCAAGUCGAUGGGGAAGUGGUGCUUGCACCAUGGUAACCAUGGCGGACGGGUGAGUAACGUGUAAGGAACUUACCUGCGGGACCGGGAUAACAGCAGGAAACUGCUGACAAGACCGGAUAAGGUCAUUAAGCUGCAUAGCUUAGUGAUGAAAGGAGACGCCUGCGGAGAGCCUUGCGUCCUAUUAGCUAGUUGGAGGGGUAACGGCCCACCAAGGCGAAGAUAGGUAGCCGGCCUGAGAGGGUGGACGGCCACAAGGGGACUGAGAUACGGCCCUUACUCCUACGGGAGGCAGCAGUGGGGAAUAUUGGACAAUGGGGGCAACCCUGAUCCAGCAAUUCUGUGUGCACGAAGACGGUUUUCGGAUUGUAAAGUGCUUUCAGCAGGGAAGAAGGAAGUGACGGUACCUGCAGAAGAAGCGACGGCUAAAUACGUG
rnacentral:rRNA from 1 species